UUUUCUCGAAUCUCGAGGGCAAAGUCAUCUCGGAUAGCGCCAAGCUUCUUUGCCCCCGCCCGUUACCUUCCACUCCUCCACCGACUCUCGCCAGGUGACGAGGGAAGCGCUCGAAAACCACCACCGCCGCCACCCCGUCUCGCUUGCGCCGUCACUCCGUCCCAUCGCUCCUCCCUAUUUCAGCGCCUCCCGCUCCGCCUUCUCGCCCUUCGCCAUGCAAUCUCUCGUCGUCGUCGCCGCCCCUCCUCGCGCGCUCCGCCCCUCUCCGCCCCUCUCCUCUCCUCUCCUCUCCUCUCCUCCCUCUCGCCGUCUCCCGCCGCAGCGAGAUGGCGCUGGAGCAGAAGGCCAGGCUCCGCGACCUCCUACGGAGCAUGUACGAAGAGGGUAUCGUCGACGACCAGUUCUGUCAAUUGCAAGCUUUCAAGGAAUCAAUGGGACCAGAUUUUGUUGUGCGUUCUGUCAUCAGCUACUGUGUCUGUAUGCGGAACUUAUUUAUCGACUUGACCAAUCACAUUUCUCAAGUUAACGUCAACUUCUAUGCAGUCAGUAUUGCUGCUCGUGAUCUCUAUGAGAGAACAGACAGUAUUGGUGCGGUGGAUGUCAAGCUUGCCUGUGCGGAACUUCUUCAUGCUUCUGAGGCGAAUAGUCUUGAAGAUUGUUCACAGGCUCUAUAUCGGACCAAAAGUGCGUUCUCAAAGCUGCAAAGAAAAUUUCAGACACUUGUGCAGAUUGAGAGGAAGAUUAUUGAGCUCGAAGGAAGAUUUUGAAAUGAAGUUCAAUGCUGUUCUAAAGGUCUUCUCCAAGAAUAUGUGCAAUCAUUGUUAAAUGAGGGGAUUGUAAAUGACCAAUUUGCUUCUGUUCAGACUUUGAAAAGCACCGAUGAACCUGAUGCCAUCAUAAGAUUGAUCACUUCAUACUUUGCAGAUGUGGAAGCAGUAUUAUCCGAGCUCACAAGAUCUAUGUACCUUUGCAUUUUAGUAGAGUUUGUGUUUUCAUUGGUUUCAUCACGUGUUAAAUUUUUAAUCAGCAUGUCUAUAUAUCUGCAGCGAUUCUCCUGAGGCUGAUUUUGACCAGUUGGCUGCCCAAGCUAAUACCAUCAAGGAGAAAAGCCUGUGGUAACAUCAAAAAAUACUGCUGGGAUGCAUACAACUUUAAGUUUUAUGCUAUAAGUGGGGCAAAUGCAUCAAAACUGUCCGGAGGCUCUUAUUAACAUUUUGUUCAGAAUAUAAUGGGGCAUGUGUCGACAAAGUUCUCUCAAGGAAAGCCAGCCCAGAUGUGUUUUUAACCUAUACUGGCAUGAACUAGGCUUCUUGAUAGACAACUUGAGAGGGCACUUCACUUUAAGAUGUAACUCAGAAAGCCCUUGUUCUGCUAAAAAAUUUUAUCUCUUGGAUCAAAUGCUAAAGUAUGAUUUGGGUGCAUGCGCGAGGGGAAGACAGAGAGAGUCCACAAUCUUGUGGAUGUGAUCAUUCAAUUUCCUUCAACACAUUAUCCCAGUAUAAAAAAAAUUGAAGUUUUGAGUUUUUGAAACCAUCUUCCUCUGUAAUAGCUUACUGUUCUAUCCAAGUAUGCUGUCUGCUUAUUAUCACUCAUGCUAUCAUUUGUUAGUACAUUGACGUAGGUUAUGAUGAACUCUGAUUGACUUAAAUUUAGAAAUCAUGUAGCACCUUAUAUGUACUUUUUUGGAUCAUUUGUGAUAUGCUACGUCGCAUCAGACUUUGCAUGUAGUCUGGAAAAGGAAUUCCUUUAAUAAGUAGUCACUAUUGUUGUCUUGCAUGUAUUGUCCAAGUAGUGUGGAGCCAUUAUUUCCAACUUGUGGAGGAUCUAUAUUCCAUAAACCUUUAUUAAAACACUUAUUUCCCGCCCGGGCAUGGUGAUUAUAUAUUUAAGGGGACCCAAAAUUUGAGAGUAUUCAUUCGUUAACUUUUAUCUUCUCAAGUUGCAAUUUACACAAAAUAAUGUUUUUAAAAGGAUUGUUUACCUUUGCAGUACAACUAUCUAAAUGAUGUGAAUGAUAUUUCUGUAUAAUGAGAGCCUUUUUCCUAUUCAAGCUUUCCACUUGAACAGUCCCUUUUGAAGAUUAACGUGGAUGAAAAAUGCCUUGGUUGCAUUCAGAUAUUAAGAAUGCUCAAUUUCCAGGUUUAUCCUUAGGGUUUCCAAAGCGUUGUUAUCUCCCAACGUAUAGGUUUAGGCUUAGGCUUGCAACUGCUUUGCUUUCUUGGCCUCACUUGUAAGGCAUGAUUGCUGGUGAUAUCUUGAAAAGGAAGAUAGAUGAGUGAUCAAGUAUCCAAAUUUCUUGAUAUGUACAGUAAUUACAUGAGUUUCCAUAUAUUAUGCUUGACUGUUUCUAUUUGGAGUCAGAAUUACAUUCUUUUCUCCUUAGAAUAAGUUGCCAUACAGGUUUUAAUGUUUAGUUGGAAAAAUGAUGUGUUCAAUCCGUAAGUCUGGGUAGCCGACCCCUUUGCUGCCUGAUAAUUACAUGAGAUUCCAUAUUUUAUGCCUCAUAAUGAGUCUCUUUACCUAGAAAUACAGGCUAGAUAGCAGACAUUUUGCAAUAUUACUCGGACAAUUAUGACGAUUUUGCCUUCUUGUGCUUUCUGCUAAGAUAAUUCACCCUUUUCAAAGAUUUUGACGAUACUCUCUUCUCUUCGUAAGCCAAAUCUGUCUUUGUCUUUGUUGUUGCAGCAUAGGUGCUGAGCAUAUGAAACUUGCAUGUGAUAGUCUCAUCCGUGCUUGCGAAGAAAAACAGGGGCGAAAGUUCUCCCAGGCACUUAAUUGGAUUGAAAAUGAAUUUGCUCGAACUCAGGAUAAGUUGGAUGCAGUUGUUCAGGUACUACAGUACUUCCGGAACCCAAACAUUUGUACCAGAUAAUUUCCUCAAAGGAGGCAUUUAGAUGAUUGUUCUCAAGGAUGUUUUUUUCUCUCUGUAUCUUCCUUUUUUUUUCUUGCAUGCAUACAGAAGAUGGUGUUGGCACUUGAUGAACUGGAAUGCUAGUUGUGUAGGAGUUGCAUGAGGGGACUGAAUAACUCAUGCAUUCAACCUGGAAUUUUUUUUUCGCAUGCCUGAAGAAGCAUUAGAGGAUAAUACCUUGCCACAAAUGCUCUGAGAACCGAUUGCAUUAUACUUAACCACUCUUCAUUGAAAUUUAUCUCUCAAGGGAAACCUUUACACCUAGGCCAAACAAAAAAGCCAGUGGCAUGGUGGCAACUAUUAAAAUAAUAGCUACAUGGUCCGAUAUUUGUCCAAAAUACAAGCUGCGAAGAUGCUGCUGCCUGCUAAGAAAAGGAUCUACUCCUAUGGCACUGCACUAUAAGUUGACGCUGCCUGCUAAUAAUAGUAAUCACCGGGUGUGGUCUGUUUUCCCCACCUUCCUUUGUGAACGAAUCCUUCCUUCGUCCUCUCUUUGGAUAUUCCAAGCUCGAUCGUGUUUGCUGGGGCUCUUUUAGUUUCAGUGCGAUGCCCGUGUUUGGAACGCAGAAGCUAAAGUCAGUUGGGUCUUUUGGAGAUGCAGAUGGAGAAGAGGAUUCUCAGACUUGAAAGCAAAAGGCACAAGUGAGCUUGUUCCCGGUAUUUACUCGUUCUGUUAAUUGCGUCGCAUGACUUGGCAUCUGCUGCGCAUAGAUUGAUAAGUUUAAUCGUAAAAGCAGAAGUUGUAGCUCUUUCGUCUAGCUUUUUCUGUAAAUUUGCGGUGUCCGACCUCUCUAUACGGCUCUGCUAUUACCGUCACCUUUAUGAUUAUGAUGAACUCUUUACGAGAAAGGAUUGAUUUGUCGACAGUCACUAAUUUUCAA